UACGAAGGGGGCUAGCGUUGUUCGGAAUUACUGGGCGUAAAGGGCGCGUAGGCGGUCCUGAUCGUCGGAUGUGAAAGGCCUGGGCUCAACCUGGGAACUGCAUCCGAUACGGCGGGACUGGAGUGUGGGAGAGGUUGGUGGAAUUCCCAGUGUAGAGGUGAAAUUCGUAGAUAUUGGGAAGAACACCGGUGGCGAAGGCGGCCAACUGGACCACAACUGACGCUGAGGCGCGAAAGCGUGGGGAGCAAACGGG
rnacentral:rRNA from 1 species